rnacentral:rRNA from 1 species
UACGGAGGGUGCAAGCGUUAUUCGGAUUUACUGGGCGUAGAGGGCGCGUAGGCGGCUUGAUAAGUGAGAGGUGAAAUCUUCCGACUUAAUCGGGAAAUUGCCUUUCAAACUAUCAGACUUGAGAUUGGAAGAGGGAAACGGAAUUAGCGGUGUAAGGGUGAAAUCUGUAGAUAUCGCUAAGAACAUCGGUGGCGAAGGCGGUUUCCUGGACCAAAUCUGACGCUGAAUUGCGAAAGCUAGGGGAGCAAACAGAAUUAGAUACUCUGGUAGUCCUAGCCGUAAACGAUGAGCACUAGGUGUUGGCCCGUAAGGGUCAGUGCCGCAGCUAACGCAUUAAGUGCUCCACCUGGGAACUACGACCGCAAGGUUAAA